GCCGUCUUGUAGCCCUGGUCAGCAGCUGUUGCUCUGAUCAGGAAAAUAGACAUACAGAAAAACGUGGAGCUCAUCCUAAAGAAGCUGAGGCAACUGGUGCAUUAUGUCGGGCCUUAAAACGGGCAACCUACGCAUACUCGCGCGAUGCAGGCAACUCAGUUGCCUGACAUGGUAACUCCGUCGCCAUCCAUCUUGAGCCGGUGAGAGGAGGAGAGAAACUCACCCCGGGAGCUUCAUUGCUUUAAAAUCCUGAUUGACGACCUUCUUGGGUUUGGACACGGUCUGCUCGGGCCAGGAGUCCAGAGUAAAGCUCAGUAGGCAUCGCGCCCAUAGGCCAGUCACUUCACUCAGUGGCUGCUACCGCCGACGCGGAAGAAAAGAACCGCCAGCCUGGAUCGGAGGCGGGCACAACGAGGAGGAGCUCGACCUGCCCUGAUAGCCAGAACGGUACCUCGUCAGCCCAGGGCCUAUUCCAACCCCGGCGGCUCCGCAGACACACGGAGCGCGGCGCAAACACAGGAGCAACGGAGGCGCGCGACCGACCCGGGUUUUUUCACACUCAACU